AAUUAAUGAACUUGAAUAAGUAUAUGUUUUGAAAACAUAAUAAAGAAGGUUAAUCUUCUAUUAAUUU
rnacentral:tRNA from 1 species